UGCCUAAAAGCUAGCCCCCCCCCCAAACACAACAACUCAACAUUAAUAACCCCUAAAUACCCCCGUAUUCAAAACAAUAAACCAUUUUUCCCCCUCAGUACAGGAGAUAGAAAAGGACCAAAGGCGCAAUAGAGACAGUACCGCAAGGGAACGCUGAAAGAGAAAUGAAACAACCCAGUUAAAGCCCAAAAAAGCAGAGCCUGACUCUCGUACCUUUUGCAUCAUGAUUUAGCAAGUGUACCCCAGGCAAAGCGCACUUUAGUCUGACCCCCCGAAACCUAGUGAGCUACUCCAAGGCAGCCUAUUAACAGGGCCCACCCGUCUCUGUUGCAAAAGAGUGGGGAGAACUUUGAGUAGAGGUGACAAACCUACCGAACUCGGUCAUAGCUGGUUGCCCAAUAAAUGGAUAGAAGUUCAGCCUCCUGGCUUCUCUUUUCACUCUCGGGUCACACCCCUGCUGAUUCACUAAAGAAACCAAGAGAGUUAGUCAAAGGGGGUACAGCCCCUUUGAAUCAAGACACAACUUUGCCAAGCGGGUAAAGAUCAUAAUUAACUAAAGCUAGGUGCCCCCGUGGGCUUAAAAGCAGCCACCCCCUUCGAAAGCGUUAAAGCUCGGACACAUCCCAUGCCCUUCUUAUCCUGAUCACCAAAUCUCACCCCCCUGCACCAUACUGGGCCGUCCCACGCCCCCGUGGGAGCGAUUAUGCUAAUAUGAGUAAUAAGAGAGCUCAGGCUCUCUCCCUGCACAUGUGUACAUCGGAACGGACCCCCCACCGACACUUAACGGCCCCAAAGCAAAGAGGGCAUUGGACCUUGCACCAAACAACUAGAAACCCAUCCAAACACCAACCGUUAACCCCACACAGGCAUGCUCCCAGGGAAAGACUAAAAGAAAGAGAAGGAACUCGGCAAAAUCUCAAGCCUCGCCUGUUUACCAAAAACAUCGCCUCUUGCAAAACUAAAAAAUAAGAGGUCUCGCCUGCCCUGUGACUAUUCGUUUAACGGCCGCGGUAUUUUGACCGUGCAAAGGUAGCGCAAUCACUUGUCUUUUAAAUGAAGACCCGUAUGAAUGGCAUAACGAGGGCUUAACUGUCUCCUUUUUCAAGUCAAUGAAAUUGAUCUCCCCGUGCAGAAGCGGGGAUAAAAACAUAAGACGAGAAGACCCUAUGGAGCUUCAGACACUAAAGCAGCCCACGUUAAAUACCCCUCAAGAAGGGACCAAACAAGGUGUGCCCUGCCCUAAUGUCUUUGGUUGGGGCGACCGCGGGGAAUUAAAUAACCCCCAUGUGGACCAAGGAAACUUUCCCUACAACUAAGAGCCACAGCUCUAAUAGCCAGAACUUCUGACCAACAAGAUCCGGCACUGCCGAUCAACGGACCGAGUUACCCUAGGGAUAACAGCGCAAUCCUCUUCUAGAGCCCAUAUCGACAAGGGGGUUUACGACCUCGAUGUUGGAUCAGGACAUCCUAAUGGUGCAGCCGCUAUUAAGGGUUCGUUUGUUCAACGAUUAAAGUCCUACGUGAUCUGAGUUCAGACCGGAGUAAUCCAGGUCAGUUUCUAUCUAUGCCGUGCCCUUUUCUAGUACGAAAGGACCGAAAAGAGGGGGCCCAUGCCAAGGGCACGCCUCUCCCCCACCCGAUGAAGACAACUAAAAAGGUCAAAGGGGCAUAGUCCCGCUGCGCCUAAGAUUAAGGCUC
rnacentral:rRNA from 1 species